rnacentral:tRNA from 1 species
GGGCGCGUAGCUCAGUUGGCAGAGCAUCGGACUUUUAAUCCGUUGGCCACAGGUUCGAAUCCUGUCGCGCUCACAA